AUGGGAUGCCUCCUUGGGUGCGCCGUUGUGGCCGAAACUACACCGUCCUGCUUGUGUUUACACGAGGCGGUGCCGCGGCGGGCAGUACAAGGCGAUGGAUAUUGCUGUCUAGACCAAGUGAACAGAUCCUGUCUUAUAUGAUUCUGGUUCAGAUUCUUGUUCUGAAUUAUGAACUACCAUGAUGGUGUAAGGAGCCAUGUACCUCCGGCGGUAUGAUGUACGACGGCGAAAGGUUCCUCCACUUUCGGCCACAGCACCAGGGAGUUCUGCUUGGAGAGGAUGCUCCUCUGCAGGGUUUUGACCUGGAUGAUAAAGUUGCUUGGUAGAGAUGAACUUUCUCCAUCCACCUACAGAUGAGCAAAAUGAGUACAGAUGAACCAAACUUUACAACACUCAGAUAGGCAGGCAGCAAAGUUAGCCAGCACAGCAUACUCCUUCCACACCCAGUGCUUAUAAGCACGCACACAGAAUAUCCCAGCAGAUGCACACCAGCUCCCUAUGAGACAGCACACAGGGUCUGCAGAGCAACCAACUGCUCAACACCUCAGCCUACUUUCUUACCAACAUGUGGACAGCUCCAGCUAAGUAGCCUAAUAUGAAUCAGGUCUGUGUGCAAUUUUAGUUUGCUUAGUGUUAUUCUAUGUCUGCUACACACAUAAGGUAAACACCAUAAUUAUCACUCAGGCUUGUGCUAUAACAGGUUCCCAGAAAAGUGGCAAGACUCAAGGGUUUAAGGAGGAGCAAGGAAAGACUUCUGCUGUGGUUACCAUAAAGGAAUUUUAAGAAACAGGAUAAGACUGACAAACACAUUGAUGGAAACUAGCAAAUUGUAAAAAUGUUUCAUUGGUUUGCCUACUUGUUGUCUUACUAAUUCCCCAUACUAUUCACUUUAUAUUGCCCAUUUUACAAUCAAGUGCAAUACAAACAUGUUAGUGUCAUAAGAGAAUAAAAAAGCUAUCCACAUUAAAAUGUCUUCUUUAAUAAAGCAUUUAACCUCUUUUUCACUGCCAUUACAUAGAACUUAACUAUGGUAAAGGUAAAAAAAUUCAUUAAUAAUUUGUUAUUACUAUAAUAAAUGUAAGUAAAGUACAGCAUUAUCAAGCCACUUUGACUCACAUAAUGUGCAAUUUUCAUUUAUAUUAUUCCAAAAAGAUAUUAAGGCUGCUUCAAUCAAGCUAAUUAAAUCAAUAAUACUGGUAUCAAAGUAAAAUGUUUACAUAAGCACAUUGUUUAUAAAUUAGUAAAAAUAAAUCAGAAAAAAAAUACUGGGCAUUUUUGAGAAAUCUAUAUACCACACCAGCAAUCACACACAGGAUGGCUCAGACACUCACUCACACAUAAUUAACACUCUUGAGAAA